GGGUUGUGAGGUUAAGCGACUAAGCGUACACGGUGGAUGCCCUGGCAGUCAGAGGCGAUGAAGGGCGUGCUAAUCUGCGAUAAGCGCCGGUAAGGUGAUAUGAACCGUUAUAACCGGCGAUACCCGAAUGGGGAAACCCAGUGUGACUCGUCACACUAUCAUUAACUGAAUCCAUAGGUUAAUGAGGCGAACCGGGGGAACUGAAACAUCUAAGUACCCCGAGGAAAAGAAAUCAACCGAGAUUCCCCCAGUAGCGGCGAGCGAACGGGGAGGAGCCCAGAGCCUGAAUCAGCAUGUGUGUUAGUGGAAGCGUCUGGAAAGGCGCGCGAUACAGGGUGACAGCCCCGUACACAAAAGCGCAUGUGYUGUGAGCUCGAUGAGUAGGGCGGGACACGUGGUAUCCUGUCUGAAUAUGGGGGGACCAUCCUCCAAGGCUAAAUACUCCUGACUGACCGAUAGUGAACCAGUACCGUGAGGGAAAGGCGAAAAGAACCCCGGCGAGGGGAGUGAAAAAGAACCUGAAACCGUGUACGUACAAGCAGUGGGAGCACAGGUUUACCUGUGUGACUGCGUACCUUUUGUAUAAUGGGUCAGCGACUUAUAUUCUGUAGCAAGGUUAACCGAAUAGGGGAGCCGGAGGGAAACCGAGUCUUAAUUGGGCGUUAAGUUGCAGGGUAUAGACCCGAAACCCGGUGAUCUAGCCAUGGGCAGGUUGAAGGUUGGGUAACACUAACUGGAGGACCGAACCGACUAAUGUUGAAAAAUUAGCGGAUGACCUGUGGCUGGGGGUGAAAGGCCAAUCAAACCGGGAGAUAGCUGGUUCUCCCCGAAAGCUAUUUAGGUAGCGCCUCGUGAAUUCAUCUCCGGGGGUAGAGCACUGUUUCGGCUAGGGGGCCAUCCCGGCUUACCAACCCGAUGCAAACUGCGAAUACCGGAGAAUGUUAUCACGGGAGACACACGGCGGGUGCUAACGUCCGUCGUGAAGAGGGAAACAACCCAGACCGCCAGCUAAGGUCCCAAAGUCAUGGUUAAGUGGGAAACGAUGUGGGAAGGCCCAGACAGCCAGGAUGUUGGCUUAGAAGCAGCCAUCAUUUAAAGAAAGCGUAAUAGCUCACUGGUCGAGUCGGCCUGCGCGGAAGAUGUAACGGGGCUAAACCAUGCACCGAAGCUGCGGCAGCGACGCUUAUGCGUUGUUGGGUAGGGGAGCGUUCUGUAAGCCUGCGAAGGUGGCCUGUGAGGGUUGCUGGAGGUAUCAGAAGUGCGAAUGCUGACAUAAGUAACGAUAAAGCGGGUGAAAAGCCCGCUCGCCGGAAGACCAAGGGUUCCUGUCCAACGUUAAUCGGGGCAGGGUGAGUCGACCCCUAAGGCGAGGCCGAAAGGCGUAGUCGAUGGGAAACGGGUUAAUAUUCCCGUACUUGGUGUUACUGCGAAGGGGGGACGGAGAAGGCUAUGUUGGCCGGGCGACGGUUGUCCCGGUUUAAGCGUGUAGGYKKGUKUUCCAGGYAAAUCCGGUUMAMWUYAASRCUGAGGCGUGAYGACGAGGCACUACGGUGCUGAAGCAACAAAUGCCCUGCUUCCAGGAAAAGCCUCUAAGCAUCAGGUAACAUCAAAUCGUACCCCAAACCGACACAGGUGGUCAGGUAGAGAAUACCAAGGCGCUUGAGAGAACUCGGGUGAAGGAACUAGGCAAAAUGGUGCCGUAACUUCGGGAGAAGGCACGCUGACACGUAGGUGAAGUGAUUUACUCAUGGAGCUGAAGUCAGUCGAAGAUACCAGCUGGCUGCAACUGUUUAUUAAAAACACAGCACUGUGCAAACACGAAAGUGGACGUAUACGGUGUGACGCCUGCCCGGUGCCGGAAGGUUAAUUGAUGGGGUCAGCGCAAGCGAAGCUCCUGAUCGAAGCCCCGGUAAACGGCGGCCGUAACUAUAACGGUCCUAAGGUAGCGAAAUUCCUUGUCGGGUAAGUUCCGACCUGCACGAAUGGCGUAAUGAUGGCCAGGCUGUCUCCACCCGAGACUCAGUGAAAUUGAACUCGCUGUGAAGAUGCAGUGUACCCGCGGCAAGACGGAAAGACCCCGUGAACCUUUACUAUAGCUUGACACUGAACAUUGAGCCUUGAUGUGUAGGAUAGGUGGGAGGCUUUGAAGUGUGGACGCCAGUCUGCAUGGAGCCGACCUUGAAAUACCACCCUUUAAUGUUUGAUGUUCUAACGUGGACCCGUAAUCCGGGUUGCGGACAGUGUCUGGUGGGUAGUUUGACUGGGGCGGUCUCCUCCUAAAGAGUAACGGAGGAGCACGAAGGUUGGCUAAUCCUGGUCGGACAUCAGGAGGUUAGUGCAAUGGCAUAAGCCAGCUUGACUGCGAGCGUGACGGCGCGAGCAGGUGCGAAAGCAGGUCAUAGUGAUCCGGUGGUUCUGAAUGGAAGGGCCAUCGCUCAACGGAUAAAAGGUACUCCGGGGAUAACAGGCUGAUACCGCCCAAGAGUUCAUAUCGACGGCGGUGUUUGGCACCUCGAUGUCGGCUCAUCACAUCCUGGGGCUGAAGUAGGUCCCAAGGGUAUGGCUGUUCGCCAUUUAAAGUGGUACGCGAGCUGGGUUUAGAACGUCGUGAGACAGUUCGGUCCCUAUCUGCCGUGGGCGCUGGAGAACUGAGGGGGGCUGCUCCUAGUACGAGAGGACCGGAGUGGACGCAUCACUGGUGUUCGGGUUGUCAUGCCAAUGGCACUGCCCGGUAGCUAAAUGCGGAAGAGAUAAGUGCUGAAAGCAUCUAAGCACGAAACUUGCCCCGAGAUGAGUUCUCCCUGAGACUUAGAGUCUCCUGAAGGAACGUUGAAGACGACGACGUUGAUAGGCCGGGUGUGUAAGCGCAGCGAUGCGUUGAGCUAACCGGUACUAAUGAACCGUGAGGCUUAACCUUACAACGCCGAAG
rnacentral:rRNA from 1 species